GUCGGAUAGCGCAGUGGUUAGCGCUCCGGGUCAUAUUCGCAAGGUCGCCGGUUCGAGUCUAGUGGACGACA